CGCAUCUCCCCCUCACUCUGUCGCCAUCCUGGCGCCUCUGGUUAAUGGAUUGUACACUUUCCCUUCAAAUACGACAGCAGCUGACGGUGUUCCCGACAUAUUUCUGUCAGAGUUACAGCGUAGAGUUACAGAUGAAGUCUACAGAAGUGGACCAAGGGCUAUUCACAGACUGCUACUGCAGAGUAUGCAGUGCUCAGCUCAUCUCCGAGUCCCAGAGGGUCGCUCAUUAUGAGAGUCGAAAGCAUGCCAAUAAAGUGCGGCUGUAUUAUAUGUUACAUCCUGUGGAUGGAGGAUGCCCUGCCAAGAAGCUCAGAACAGACAAUGGCAGUGACGAAGGUGACGUGGACAAGAAUAAAUGUUGCACGCUGUGUAACAUGUCCUUCACAUCAGCAGUGGUUGCACAGUCACACUACCAGGGUAAAAUUCAUGCCAAGAGGCUAAAACUGCUACUUGGGGAUCAGCCUGCCAUCACAACCAAAGAGGCAUCUCCCAGUCCUGUAAAGAGCUCUCCAGACACAUCUCCCGUAACCUCCCCACGACACCGACGUGACUCAGAUCGCUACUGCCAACUAUGCAAUGCUUGGUUCAACAACCCAGGAAUGGCCCAACAACAUUACGAUGGUAAAAAGCACAAGAAGAAUGCUGCCCGAGCAGACCUGCUUGAGCAACUGGGCAAGACUCUGGACAUGGGGGAUGUGAAAGGGUCGUGGGCGUGCUGGAGCCUAUCCCAGCUAUCUUCGGGCAGGAGGCGGAGUACACCCAGAACCGGUCGCCAGCCAAUCACAGAGCACACAGAAACAAACAACCAUUCGCACUCACAUUCACACCCUCGGGCAAUUCAGAGUCUUCAGUCAACCUACCAUACAAACUCCACACAGGCGGGGCCGGGAUUUGAACCCCGGUCCUCAGAACUGUGAGGCAGAUGUGCUAACCAGUAGCUCACCGUGACGGCUUCAUUUGACCAUCCAUUUCCAUUUUCACACCGCUUAUCCUGGUUAGGGUCGCGGGAUGCUGGAGCCUAUCCCAGCUGACUUCGGGCGAAAGGCGGACUACACCCUGAACUGGUCGCCAGUCAGUCGCAGGGCACAUAGACACGGACAACCAUUCGCACUCACAUUCACACCGUCAUUGAGUGGGAACUGAACCCACGCUGCCUGCACCAAAGUCAGGCGAGUGUACCGCUACACCAUCAGUGACUCUUCAUUUGACCAGUUAGAAUUUAAUUUAAACCACAUUUUGUUAUUGAAAUUCACCUGAAUCCACCUAACUGCUAGGAUCAGAAUAAUCCAGAUUUUUUGGGGAUCAAAGUUAUUUCAAUCCGAUGAAAAAGCUUUGAAAAACACAAAGUGAUGGUUUGAUCCACAUUAAAACCAAGAUUCCAUUACGUGAUCUAAUUUCAGAAUCCGUUUUUGGUUUUGAACAACCCAUUUUCAACAAUUGAUCCAAUCCAUUAUCCAAAACAAAUUCUGACCUGUGAAAGAAAAUGCUUUCAUUCCACAGCAAGAAAUAAAGGAAUCGAUUUCACUGUUCCACUAUGUUUGAGGGAAUGUACAUUUGGGUGUCAUUGUGUUCAAUGCAAUGUCUCACAUCAAUGUUUGUAUUGUAGGUUAAAACUGGUAAACAAGAUAUGCCAAUUUUGAACUCACAUCUAAAUGAAAUGCCAAGCGCUUCUUGGCUUGUAUGCAUUUACCCAGAAAAAUUUAGGAAUGUGCUUCUUAAAACGAGGUACAAGUAAUUUAUGAAUGAAUGAUGAAUGAAAGUAAAAUGAAGUAGAGGUCCAGGCCAUUCCUAAUACUGUAAUGUUUUUCACCUAAACAAUACAUGGCUGUCAUUGAGAGAGAAAAUAGCAACUUACAGUGUGUAACUCCAGCUCGUGAUCUCACUUCCAUCCAUUACCUUGGCUGAGAGAAGAGUGCUACAUUACUUCAUUGCUGUCGUCUGAGCAUCUUUUUUGGGAGUGUCCCCAAGGAUGAUUUCAGCCUGAGUACCACAGAAUGCUCCUUCACAGCUUUGCUUAACUUCUAAAAGAAAAUUCUUUCCCAAGAAAGUAAACUAGUUUUGUAAACCUAAUGGGAAAAAGAACUUGUGGUCCAGGCACAUUUUUCACUGAGAAUUAAAUAUCAUGUAAAAAUAUCUUAAUGAAGUAUGUACAAUGAACCAUAAGUAAUGCAGAAUUAAAAUGCCACAUUUACAAAUAUGAAACCUGAAUUUGUUGUAGAUGUAAUUUUUUUAGAUUAUAGAGAGACUGCUCAGGACACCAGAGAUAUGUUAAGAACAACAUUUUUCUCGACAGUCAAUACUGUGUGAAUACAAGGAUCGAAAUAUUAAUCAUCCAUUUUCUGCCUCCUAGCGUUUUUAAGGUCGCAGGUAAGCUGGAGUCUGUUCUAGCUGACUUUGGGCAAAAAAUGGGGUACACCCUGUCAAUCGCAAGGCACAUACAGACAAAACAUCGGUGACUAUCACAUUAAUACCUAUGGUCAGUGUAGAAUUUUCAGUUUAUCUAGCAUGUGUUUGGAAUGUAAGAGGAAGACAGAGUACCCAGAAAAACUCCACACAGAAAGGACUCACAGCCCCAUUAUCUAUUACAAUUGGAUUCUAAGCCACUAUUCCCAGAUACCCUGUUCUUUCCAACAAAACUGAGAACAUUUAAAAAACAAACAAAACAAAAACUACUCAUUACUCAUUCUUUGCAGGGCCAGUUCUAGGAAUGCAAACUUGAGAGGGCAGGCAGACAUGUUAAGGGGGCAUCAUGUGACAGCAUGUUUAUUUUAUUUUAUUAUUUACUGUCACGGCAGUUUUCACGCGUGGCUCUCACAUUCCGUCUUGCUGCAUUUUCGCCGGAUUCAAUAUGUAAAAUAGCGUCGCUCGUCGGUGACAAUUGAUCACUCUGAUUGGUUGUUAGCGAGCGAAUCAGCACAACAGCAAACAAGUGACAAAGAAAAAGGCACGAUAUGAUAAAACAAGCUAAGCUUGUUACAUAGGUGUUGAGGAACACAAAGUAUACAAGCAAUAAUGUGGGGGUCACGUACUCCCCCACAUGAAAACUCGGCUGCUGUGGUUGUAAUGGAAUCACAAAUGUGUGAUAAACUAUAUCCAGGUUUUGUAAGUAUUUCAUAGCUAUUCAAUUAAGAUAUUCUUCACUCAAAAUAUGUGGUUUAAAUUUACCCAAUUAAAGUGGCUGCUAAUUGUUACCCUAAAUUUAUUGGGUAAAUUCUAUAGGUUAUUCUUUACAGUGUGUCACAGGUGAUAUGGCAUGACUCCUUCUUGUAACUGUCAGCCCAUAGUUCAUUCAGUAGCUCCAUAAUUACCAUGCUGAAAAGACAAUAUGUCAAGAUGAAUUUUGUUUCAGGCAUUUCAGAAAUGUUCUCAUUCUUACGCUGGCACCGCUUUGCACCAGCCUUUCAAACGUGAUGCAAAAUGGGCCAUCUGAAUCGGUCUUAGGUUUGAUAAAUCAUAUUGCACCUGCUUAAUUCAGCUAUUUGCAUUUACUCCUCCCAAACCGUGCAAAAUGAGCAGUGCAUCACUUCUGCGGCCCUUGACAGACGCAAUCCUAGUUGCGCCCGGUUAGUAGAUCUGCCUCUACAUCUAUUUGUGUGAGCAAAAUAGUUUGCACAAACCUUUAGGAAAUCAGGCCCUCAAAGCUGUUCAGCCUAAAAUGAUUGAUUUUACAUUCACUGCAAAUGAAGUGAAAGAACUGCCUGUAAAGUGGAUGUACUGUGUUACUGUGUUUGUGAAUUUCCAGGUCUAAAACGAAGCUAUACCUGUGAAGUGUGCAGCAUGACAUUGAACUCGGUGGCACAGUACCACGCACAUCUGCAAGGCUCAAAGCACCAAAACAAUCUGAAGAAUCAGAUCUGUGACUAGUGAUCAAGAGACAAAUCAACUACACUGGAUUGAUGUCAGACAAGCUGUGGUCAGCUUGCCCUGCUUUUUUCUUCUGCCUCUCUCUGCAGACUGUCUUCAUUCCUGCAUCUGUCUUUCACCAUCAGUUUGGCCUGGCCUGGAAAUUAAAGGAUUUUUGGGAGGGUCUUUCUUACUGUAGCACUGCAUUAGCUAUGUCACCUCAGAGAUGGAGGUUGGGGGACUACAUUUUACAAAACAGUGAAAAAUUAUCUUUGCAUGUCUGGCCACUUGUAUUGAGCGUUGUCAUGACACCUCAGCUGUUUAAGCUGUUGAUUUUCUGCUGCUAGUCAAACACAAUUAAAAUCUGUUGGUUAAUGGCAGCGUUUCUACAUUACAUGCAUUACAAAGGUAUGCUAUACCACCAGUUGUUUUUAGUUAUUAAAUAUAUAUUAUUAUUUCGUUAUUUAUGUUUAUUAUUCUUAUUGUAUUUAUGAAGUUGUAUUUUUCAAGUUUAUUCCAUUAAAUAGCAAUAACAACUUUGGACUAAUUGUGUAAAUUGUGGUUGCAUACUAUACUUUUUAUGCAACGUUAGUAAAUACUGAAGGGAAAUUGUCUAGAGAUAAAUGGAACUGAGGAUACAGCUGCAACUAGUUCAAGCCGAAACUACUAAGAUGAGAAAAAAAAUAGUGACAUUCCUUAACAACAAAAAUAUUAUUAGGGUAUAAUGGGUCUAAAUCCUAACCCAUCCCACCCUAUUGCUCUUAAAUAUUUUUUUAAAACAGAUUUCCACUGUGAUUUGGGCAUACUAGACAUUGUUACUGUGUCUGAAAUGGUUAUGUUUAUACCAGCAAUUAUUUUGUCUUAUCUUGAAAGUGCACUACUUUAAUUUAUCUUGCAUUCUAAAAGUGACGUGGAAAGGAGUUCACACUUUCUCCCCGUACUUGUGUUUAUGUGUGUGUAUGUUUUUUUGUUUAUUUUUUUUUACAUACUCUGGCUUAGUCCCACAUUCCAAAAGCUGCUUCUUAGGUUAAUUGAAGACAACAUUUUCCUUAAGUCUAAAUAUGAGUGUGAAUGCUUGUUUGUCUUCAUGUGCCCUGCGAUUGGCUAGCGACAUGCGGUCCAGGGAGAAAGUACUUUAACCAUGCCUUUCGCCCAAAGUCAGCUGGGAUCGUGAGAGAUAAUCAGUAAAAAAUAAAAAGAUUUUAAAAAUGGAUGGACAGAUGGUAUGAACUGCGGUUCACAACUUAUUUGUUUUACUAAAAUUUUAGCAGGAAACAAAAUUCCCUCAUUUAUUUCGAUCUUUUUUUUCCUGUGAAACUAGGAUUUUUUUAUACACUACUUUGUAUAUGUUGUUAAAGGAUCUGGGCUUUGUAAUGAUUCCUCUGGUGAAGACGACUUCAGUUAAGUGUUGUAUUCAUCUCAGGGAGAUGUAAUGUACUCAAAGUAGCUGCUGAAGUGAAGUGGUUAGAUUUUAAAACCUCUCAUUCCACUAAAGAGACUUGUAGCAUGUGCUGAUAAAAGUGUUUAGUGGAUCAACCAACUACCGUAAUUUCUGGCGCAUAACACACUCUCGAGUAUAGUGUGCACCCCCAAAAUUGACCCCAUAAAUCAGGAAAACCCUUCUAAAUAUGUAUAAUGCGCAACAUCGAUUCGCUGCUUUCCAUAUGCUCAAAACAUCAAGUAUUAUUCAUAUUUUACUAGGUUUUUCAAAGAAAUAUUCUGCUUUGUGUGCAUCCGCUAAAGUAAUUCUGUUGUUGUUGUUGUUGUUGUUUUUUUUAUCCCGUGCCGGGACAGGCCAUGUGUAAUGUAAAAAAGCUUACCCUUGCUUAACAUUACAGAACUGCAACCAAAGUGUAUUUGGACAUCUCUAAUUAUGCCCCCUUCCCCAACUGAAAAUAUCAGAACAAAAUCUGUCAUAUUUUUUCUGGUUUGUAUUAUGGACAUUAAACGAUUUCCCCUUCAUAUGCGCUCACUACAGUAACUGCUGAAGGUACCUUAAUGUCACGAAACUGCCACCAUUCAUCACCAAAAUGGAUGGGGAUAUCUCUACCUAUGCCCACUUCAAACUCUAAAAACAUCACAAUGAAAUCCCGAAUAUUUUGGAUGUUAUGGAUUUUUAUAUCAAUAACAUGUCUGGGAAGAGGCCUUAUAUUGGAACGAAAGUAAAAAUUUCUCACAAUCUCUCGGUACCGCUAAAAAUGUAAACAAUGUGAAAUAAUUUUUUUCAUUUUCCUUAUAGCAUGUAUAUUGCACUCUGUUGACUUUUGAAAAAUUGGGGGGGAAAUAAAUGAGCAUUAUAAAUGACAAAUUAGGGUAACUAUAAACGCAUAAAAAAAGUAUUGAUAUUGUGGAGCGUUUUCCAGAGUAAUGUGGUAUAUGCUAUACUGGUAUGUACACAUACAGUCUGUAUGUGUGUGUGUGUGUGUGUGUGUGUAUGUGUGUGUUUUUUUUAACCUGUCCUGUUCAGCUGCAUGGCCAAGCAGUAUGCUGGAUCUGUAUGUCUUUUGUGCUUGAACAGCUUUCCUGUGCAACAAGGGAGUUUGAAGUAUCAUUUUUGUUUUUUGUUUUUUUUUAUUAUUCUGAUGUUUAUUGACAAUGCAGCCAGCCAGACAGAAAAGGGUUUUAGGGGACAGACCGAGGGACAGAACGGACACGGGGAAUAGGGGUGUGAACCACAGCAGAACAAUAGUUAGACAGUCUAGAUAUCUGACGACAACUAACGUUACAAAGUCAAAAUCGUGUUCUUAUUUGUGGACGGGGGACACACCCAUUGAGGACAUGCAACAACUGACCAAUAAGAGAAGAUGAGAGCUUAUGUAGCAUUUGUCCUAUACAAGUCAUUAAUGUCAAUAAUUUGAUUCAAUAUGUUGUCACUUUGGAAUUUAUUUUACAAUAUAAGGCAUUUCUUUAACUGUCAUUCAAGGUGCAGUAUGAACUGCAGAGGUGUGUGGGGUAAAAAUGUAUCUUUUACUCAUCUGUUUAAGCAUUUUAUUUUGCAAGAUCACAUGUACUGGCAGCUGAAAUCAUUUAAAGCUGAAUUUGUAAAGCAGGGGUAAAGAAAAAAAGUCUAAUGAUGGCUAAACCAGUCACCAAUUAGAUGCUCUUGUCGGCAAUACGAGCUAAACUAUAGAACUGUUUUCAUAUUGCAAAUAAAAAGUGCAUGUGUGAUUUAAGUUAUUGCUAUUUGGAAAAACGAAAUGUGUGAUUUACUUUGCUCAUUCAGAGGAAGAACUGCUUUUGAUUAUUAGGUAUUAUUCAAUCAUCACUCACCGUCCACAUCCCGCUAGCCCCCCUGUGCUAUGGGUAACGUGCUUCAUUAUGUCAGAGAAAUACAAAAUAAAAGACACGUGCAACUCUA